rnacentral:rRNA from 1 species
AAGAAAGUAAAUAAGGGCGCAUGGCGGAUGCCUUGGCUCUCGGAGGCGAUGAAGGACGUGAUAAGCUGCGAUAAGCUUCGGGUAGGUGCAAAUGACCUUUGAUCCGAAGAUUUCCGAAUGGGACAACCCGGCAUUCUGAAGGAAUGUCAUCCAACCUGGUUGGAGGCUAACGCAGGGAACUGAAACAUCUUAGUACCUGCAGGAAAAGAAAAUAAAUAAUGAUUCCCCUAGUAGUGGCGAGCGAACGGGGAUUAGCCCAAACCACCCAUGUUACGGCAUGUGUGGGGUUGUAGGACCACGCUCUCGCAAGACAGUUAUUGAGAAGAAACGACUGGAAAGUCGUGCCAUAGACGGUGAUAGCCCGGUAUUCUAAGGUAACCGAAGCGUAGUGGUAUCCUGAGUAGCGCGGAGCACGAGGAAUUCUGCGUGAAUCAGCCGGGACCAUCCGGUAAGGCUAAAUACUCCCGAGAGACCGAUAGCGAACCAGUACUGUGAAGGAAAGGUGAAAAGCACUUCGAAUAGAAGAGUGAAAUAGUCCCUGAAACCAUGCGCCUACAAGCGGUCGGAGCAGC